GCCCCUAUUCCCUUCCGGUCGGGUCAGCCUUGUGCUUCCGGGUAACGGGGACGCUGGCCGCUGAGGUGGGGGAUCUGAGGCGGGACCUGGGCCUUGAUAUGGAUAACAGACGUGAUGAGAAAUGUGGAACGCCAUGCGCUACAUCACAAGAAGAGAUGAAAGUCAGAGGGAAAGACAAGAGAAAGCGAAAACGCAGCAGAAGCAGAUCAUCAUCCAUUUCAUCAGCAUCAUCUGCUAGUACUACUACUGCAUCCUCCUCGUCCUCUUCAUCAAGAUCUUCCUCUUCUUCAAGCAGCAGAAGCAGUUCAAGUGGCAGAGAUUCUCCCAAGUCUAAAUCAAAGAAAAGGAAAAAAGAAAAACGCAACAAAAAGGUAAAUAUUUGCUGACAGAAAUAAAUAGCAAUCCAGGCAAAAAAAUUUAAAUGUU
rnacentral:lncRNA from 1 species